rnacentral:rRNA from 1 species
GAGUUUGAUCCUGGCUCAGGAUGAACGCUAGUGGCAGGCUUAAUACAUGCAAGUCGAGGGGCAGCAUGAUUGUAGCAAUACAAUUGAUGGCGACCGGCAAACGGGUGCGGAACACGUACACAACCUUCCAAUAAGUGGGGAAUAGCCCAGAGAAAUUUGGAUUAAUACCCCGUAACAUAGCGAUGUGGCAUCACAUUGCUAUUAUAGAUUUUUCGCUUAUUGAUGGGUGUGCGGCUGAUUAGAUAGUUGGCGGGGUAACGGCCCACCAAGUCUACGAUCAGUAGCUGAUGUGAGAGCAUGAUCAGCCACACGGGCACUGAGACACGGGCCCGACUCCUACGGGAGGCAGCAGUAAGGAAUAUUGGACAAUGGACGCAAGUCUGAUCCAGCCAUGCCGCGUGAAGGAUUAAGGUCCUCUGGAUUGUAAACUUCUUUUAUAAGGGACGAAAAAAGGCUUUUCUAAGUCGUCUGACGGUACCUUAUGAAUAAGCACCGGCUAACUCCGUGCCAGCAGCCGCGGUAAUACGGAGGGUGCAAGCGUUAUCCGGAUUCACUGGGUUUAAAGGGUGCGUAGGCGGGCAGGUAAGUCAGUGGUGAAAUCCUAGAGCUUAACUCUAGAACUGCCAUUGAUACUAUCUGUCUUGAAUAUUGUGGAGGUAAGCGGAAUAUGUCAUGUAGCGGUGAAAUGCUUAGAUAUGACAUAGAACACCUAUUGCGAA